rnacentral:lncRNA from 1 species
AGAAUCACAUCCCAUUUAUUGAUGGACCAAUGGUCAAUAUAAAUAUGCUGAUAUUUUUGGCAUUCCCAAAUAGAUCAAAUCAGAUUUACAAACCAUUUAGUCAUAUGUUUAUAUAUACAAAAAGUACGCCCAUUUACACAAAGAAGAAAUUUAAAACAAUACUAAUUUAUACAACUAAUAAUAUUCAUACAACCAAUAUCGACAUAUUUAUCGCCUCCAUCCAUGUAGCUGUUUUGUCUCCUCUAUCCUAGCAACAAUUCCGUCCCCUCCAACCUUGUAGCUGUUAUUUCGAGUUGGUUUGGCGCGGCGCAAUUGCCUUGUUUUUCCUAGAAAAAACAAGACAUAAAAUAGAUCGUUAUCCAAAAAGAUGAAAGUACGUUACAUAGAGGCAACUUGGUCAAUAAGCGAAUUCUAGAAAUAAACAGGACUUACUAAUAAUCAGUGGACCAUAAUAUUGUUCCCUAGAAAUAAGGCUGAUUAUACUGACAGACACAAACAGCCCACCAAAGAAGCUCAAUAACUAGUUAUUAUUAAUCAACAAGCACAUGCAUAUCUCGAAAAAUUCUAGAGAAAGGAUGCUUUAUUUUUGGUAUACGCUAAUUGUAGAUUAGCACUAUAGCAUAAAGAAUGGAAAAAUGACCAUCGGAAAUAGUAUGAGCUGAUGCAUGUUAUAAACUGCAAGGAUAAGGCAUGGUUGACGGCUAGCUUCUUCCUGUUUGCUAGUUCAUGUGCGUUAAACUGCAAACACAUAGAGAAGCAAAUCAGAUAGAGGAUAAACUCGCUCCGGCUAGCGGCCUUCCUCCAAAGCAUACGCUGUUGUCUUGAUGAGAAAAUGAUUUAUGGAACAACUAAAUGCUUUAAAAAAAACUUUAGAUCCAGACAGAGACAAGAAAGGGGCGUGUGAUCUACCUGCAGGAGCCUCGAUUCGUUGUCCUACUCGCGCGCGAUUGAUGUCGUGCUGGAGUUGAAGUUGGGCCACGGAACUGCGGAUGAAGUUGAGCCACGGUGGAGAGUGAGGGAAAGCACAGAGCAGAGGAAAGAAAGAAGAUGAGAAGCUCACCGCUGUCCAUAAGCCAGAUCCACCACGGCUGUAUCCACCAUGGUAGAUCCACCUCUACCUCCACACGGAUGUAUCCACCAGGGUUGCUCAUGUGACAGCUCUUAGAGAUCCAGAGCAGCAAGCUAAACUUAGAUAAAAUAGAAAGCAGAGAAGAGAGCUUGCUGGGAUGGGGUUCGGGGCGGCGGGGUGGGAAUGGCUGAGGGCGUGAUGCAGACAGGGUAGAGUAGCGUUAGGGUUCGUAGACUUUUAUUCCACACAUGUGGAUGGUCGGUCGUCAGAUAAAAUGGAU